rnacentral:rRNA from 1 species
GGGGGACCUUCGGGCCUCUUGCCAUCGGAUGUGCCCAGAUGGGAUUAGCUAGUAGGUGGGGUAACGGCUCACCUAGGCGACGAUCCCUAGCUGGUCUGAGAGGAUGACCAGCCACACUGGAACUGAGACACGGUCCAGACUCCUACGGGAGGCAGCAGUGGGGAAUAUUGCACAAUGGGCGCAAGCCUGAUGCAGCCAUGCCGCGUGUAUGAAGAAGGCCUUCGGGUUGUAAAGUACUUUCAGCGGGGAGGAAGGGAGUAAAGUUAAUACCUUUGCUCAUUGACGUUACCCGCAGAAGAAGCACCGGCUAACUCCGUGCCAGCAGCCGCGGUAAUACGGAGGGUGCAAGCGUUAAUCGGAAUUACUGGGCGUAAAGCGCACCGCCCGCCGGUUG